rnacentral:misc_RNA from 1 species
GAUGAAGAACGUAGCGAAAUGCGAUACUUGGUGUGAAUUGCAGAAUCCCGUGAACCAUCGAGUCUUUGAACGCAAGUUGCGCCCGAAGCCAUUAGGCCGAGGGCACGCCUGCCUGGGCGUCACGCGUCGUUGCCCCCCCAUCUACUCCUUCGGGAUUGCGGGGGGCGGAUGAUGGCCUCCCGUGCGCCUCGUCGCGCGGUUGGCAUAAAUGCCAAGUCCUCGGCGACGCACGCCACGACAAUCGGUGGUUGCGAAACCUCGGUUGCCCGUCGUGUGCGGUCGUCGCGCAUCGAGGGCUCGAAAAAAUUGCCGGGCUCCGGCUCGGCUUUCAACGCGACCCCAGGUCAGGCGGGGUUACCCGCUGAAUUUAAGCAUAUCAAUAAGCGGAGGA